GGGGAUGAUCGGUUUCGACGGUGUUGUUGAUUGUUUGAAGAGAAGCGUGCUGAGGAUGAGUCUCAUCUCAUUAACGAAGAUUCAAAAAAAGUAAUUGCAAAAGCAAAUACACCUCGCCUAGCACUAGCUGCUUAAGGCCGGGCAAUAAGUAUUCGCUCUCGUUACUUAUUGCUUGUUAUAUCAGAGAACUUACCAAUUUAUCUUGUUGAUGGAUAAUGCGGGAAAUUUUAUCAACUGAGCUGGCUUAGAAUUUGUUUGUAGAAGUCUAACAGCUGAGAAAAGCGAUAUAUAAACUGCGCACGGAGAAGGCUUUGGGCCGCAGCAUCGGACGGGGGUUCAAUUCCCCCCAUCUCCACUU
rnacentral:tmRNA from 1 species